rnacentral:rRNA from 1 species
GUGGGGAAUAUUGGACAAUGGGCGAAAGCCUGAUCCAGCCAUGCCGCGUGUGUGAAGAAGGUCUUCGGAUUGUAAAGCACUUUAAGUUGGGAGGAAGGGCAGUAAGUUAAUACCUUGCUGUUUUGACGCUACCGACAGAAUAAGCACCGGCUAACUUCGUGCCAGCAGCCGCGGUAAUACGAAGGGUGCAAGCGUUAAUCGGAAUUACUGGGCGUAAAGCGCGCGUAGGUGGUUUUGUAAGUUGGAGGUGAAAUCCCCGGGCUCAACCUGGGAACGGCCUCCACAACUGCAUGACUAGAGUACGGUAGAGGGUAGUGGAAUUUCGGGUGUAGCGGUGAAAGGCGUAGAUAUAGGAAGGAACACCAGUGGCGAAGGCGACUACCUGGACUGAUACUGACACUGAGGUGCGAAAGCGUGGGGAGCAAACAGGAUUAGAUACCCCUGUAGUCC